AGUGAACGCUGGCGGUAGGCCUAACACAUGCAAGUCGAACGGCAGCACAGUAAGAGCUUGCUCUUACGGGUGGCGAGUGGCGGACGGGUGAGGAAUACAUCGGAAUCUACUUUUUCGUGGGGGAUAACGUAGGGAGACUUACGCUAAUACCGCAUACGACCUACGGGUGAAAGCAGGGGAUCUUCGGACCUUGCGCGAUUGAAUGAGCGAUGUCGGAUUAGCUAGUUGGGGGGGUAAAGGCCCACCAAGGCGACGAUCCGUAGCUGGUCUGAGAGGAUGAUCAGCCACACUGGAACUGAGACACGGUCCAGACUCCUACGGGAGGCAGCAGUGGGGAAUAUUGGACAAUGGGCGCAAGCCUGAUCCAGCCAUACCGCGUGGGUGAAGAAGGCCUUCGGGUUGUAAAGCCCUUUUGUUGGGAAAGAAAAGCAGCAGGUUAAUACCCCGCUGUUCUGACGGUACCCAAAGAAUAAGCACCGGCUAACUUCGUG
rnacentral:rRNA from 1 species